GAUGAACGCUAGCGGGAGGCUUUAUACAUGCAAGUCGAGCGAGAAGGUGGUCUUCGGACUGCCGGACAGCGGCGAACGGGUGAGUAACGCGUACGCAAUCUGCCUCACACAAAGGGAUAGCCCUGGGAAACUGGGAUUAAUACCUUAUGGUCCUGAUUAACGGCAUCGUUGAUUAGGUAAAGAUUUAUUGGUGUGAGAUGAGCGUGCGUGCUAUUAGCUAGUUGGUGAGGUAACGGCUCACCAAGGCGAUGAUAGCUAGGGGGCGUGAGAGCGUGAUCCCCCACACGGGUACUGAGACACGGACCCG
rnacentral:rRNA from 1 species